AAACCAGCACCUCAAGUGGUCAGGAUGAUUAUUGGGCCUAAAGCAUCCGUAGCCUGUUCUAUAAGUUUCCGGUUAAAUCCACUAGCUCAACUAGUGGGCUGCCGAAAAUACUGUAGAACUAGGGAGUGGGAGAGGUAGACGGUAUUCGGUAGGAAGGGGUAAAAUCCUUUGAUCUAUUGAGGACCACCUGUGGCGAAGGCGGUCUACCAGAACACGUUCGACGGUGAGGGAUGAAAGCUGGGGGAGCAAACCGGAUUAGAUACCCGGGUAGUCC
rnacentral:rRNA from 1 species